rnacentral:rRNA from 1 species
GAGGGAUAUUGGGCAAUGGGGGAAACCCUGACCCAGCGACGCCGCGUGAGGGAAGACGGUCUUCGGAUUGUAAACCUCUGUCUUUGGGGACGAAAAAGGACGGUACCCAAGGAGGAAGCUCCGGCUAACUACGUGCCAGCAGCCGCGGUAAUACGUAGGGAGCGAGCGUUGUCCGGAAUUACUGGGUGUAAAGGGAGCGUAGGCGGGAAGGCAAGUUGGAUGUGAAAACUGUGGGCUCAACCGACAGACUGCAUUCAAAACUGUUUUUCUUGAGUGAAGUAGAGGCAAGCGGAAUUCCUAGUGUAGCGGUGAAAUGCGUAGAUAUUAGGAGGAACACCAGUGGCGAAGGCGGCUUGCUGGGCUUUUACUGACGCUGAGGCUCGAAAGUGUGGGGAGCAAAC